GGCAGUUUAGCUUUAUGGUAAAGCAUUUGACGUGUAAUCACAGGGAUGUGAGUUCCAGUCUCAUGACUGGCU
rnacentral:tRNA from 1 species